ensembl:lncRNA
CGCAGCCCGGCCCGGGAGGGGAGCGGGCGCUGGUCUGCGCAGCGCAGAGAGAUUGCAGCUUCGGAAAUCCGAGCCCAGCCGGGUUCCGGGGCGCCGCCCCCCGGAGCAGCAGCUCUGUAUCCCGGGCUGCGCAGCCGCGCGCUCCGGCGGCUCUGGGGCGCGGGGACCUGGAGGACGGGUUCAUUUUCCUUAGCGAGAGCCCCGGAGUGAAGCCUGCGACGCGCUGACCUGAGCUCUCCUCUGCCCCGAGGUAGCCCGCGGGCGCGUCGCCGUCCGGAUCCGCUCUUCUGUUCCCGACUGCGAGCCUGGUUCCGGGCGCAGGUGAUAGGAUGGGCAUUCCUGCCUCGGCCUCCGCCCGCGGUUAGACAGGGCCAGGACGCGUACCCCGUCCCCGCCCCUGCCCCUCGGGCCCCGCCAGCAGCGGGGACAGGACGGGGACGGGGACGGCGGAGCCGCGGCGAGCGCACUCGGGGCUCGGCUCGGGACGCGGCGGGAACCCGGCCCGCGGGGCCGCAUCGGUGCGCAGCGGGAGGCUGAGGCAGGAAGGUCACGAAGAGUUUGAUGGCAGCCAGGACCACUUGGAGGGACCCUGUCUCCAAACUCCCCCCAAAACAACAGAAAACCCCAAAACAAAAACACAUAAACACGAAAGUCCUCUGUCUUCAUCUUUGCUUGUAUGGUGCACUAUUAUUUUGUCUAACGUACAUGGUCUCUCUCACUAUUUCCGGUCUUUCUACAUGACCCUUCAAAUCCACCGUGGGCUGAGAAAGACACCCUGGAGCACAUCUGUUGGGAGUAUUACAGUUGCGCAAGGCACACAACCCACAUCACAUUGGAAUAAGGCGGAAGAUGUCCAUCUCACGGAAAUACUCAGCCUUCAGUCAUGUGCCUGGAGUUUAAAUGACUUGACGGAGACCCAGUUUCCUUCUCAUCCAUCCUCUUCCUCACCUGGGCUUCCUCCUCGGCCCCUGCUCCUGACAGCUCCGAGACAAACUGGUCAGCGCAAGUUCAGAGAAGACCAGUGCGAUCCGCCCAGUAGCUCUGGUGCUGGUUCCAGGAUGCAGCAGCUGCCACACACGCCUGUCCUGGACGCAGUUGCUGUGGCUGGGAAACUGUCCCCAGCCCGCUCUGGGCAGCUGCGGUCCUGUCUCUGGGACAAGGGGCAGCUCCAGUUGUCAGGUGGAGGCCUCCACAUCAUUCUUGGAAACAAGAGGCUCAAACGGAGGGAGAGGGGCGGAGGGAAAGCUCCAGGCAGAAGAGGAGCAGUGGAAAUGCCGCAGCCUGGUGACAAACGGGUUACAGAAACCAGGGCUAGGGACAGGCGUGGGGAAGCCCUCGGGACUGCUUUAUGGGGAAAGCCCGAGCAUUAUUAGCAUACACGUUCGCACGAUGGUUAUUUGGUGGGACAGCAGUAUUUCUUCAUAUCCCAGUUUAGCUGUAUUCUUUGCAGCUAAAGUUGCAAAAUAAGUAAGCUUUGUAUAUGUAAACCUUCAGUAUAUGGCUCUUGAAUUAAUGGAUUUUAUUUUAGAUUCUCCCUAUUCAAAUAAUAUUUUGAAGGGAAAUAAGAAAAAAGGAAUCUUUCCUCCUUAUAUAAUUGUUUCUGCAGAUUAACGUUUGAGAAAACACAUCGCAGAUCACUUAGGAGACACUAGAAAAAUAUCAUUCAGUUGGAAACCAAAAACUUCGCUGUGCAACCAACUCAGAUUUUAAUUGGUCAUGUGACCCCAAAAAGUCCUUUGAUUUCUUGAGAUUGUGUCAACAUGAUUUUAUCAGUAUGAAUGAUGUUAUUUAAAUUCUUCAUGGGGAAAUCAGGACCCUGAAAAAAGUACCUGUAUUAUUCUAGAUAGAGCCUGUAAUGGCAUCUUAAUGCCACAUGUACCAUUCAUUUCCGGGUUCAUGCUUGAGGGUGGUUAUAAAAGUGCUUUAAAAGUUUUUAAUGAAUUAUAGAUCUCAGCACAUGUAUCUUCCAGAUGAAAAGUUAAUUAAAUCAAAUAAACAAAUGCCUACUAAAAAGCACCCUCCCGGGUGCAGGGAUUGGGUUUGGUGAGCGGUGCACACAGGAGGACGGAGCCCCUGUCUCCUCUGUGAGGCACCUGCAGCUCCGUCCGUCUGUCUGUCGGAGGGGAGGGGAGGGAAAAUGGUCCACUCAGCGGUCCUUCCAGAGUGUGACGGUGUCCGAGAAAGCAACAGAGUGUUGGGGAGUUUCAAAGAGCGGAAAGAGAAGCUCCGAGGCUACUCAGAAAGACUGUACAGGACAUAAAACUGGGAUGGUCCGCGAAGGAGGAAUGGGUAAGACAUCUCAGAGUUAAGAGAGCAACAAGAACAACAAGGCAGACACCA